AGGCUUAACACAUGCAAGUCGAGGGGCAGCAUUUCAGUUUGCUUGCAAACUGGAGAUGGCGACCGGCGCACGGGUGAGUAACACGUAUCCAACCUGCCGAUAACUCGGGGAUAGCCUUUCGAAAGAAGGAUUAAUACCCGAUGGUAUAAUCAGACCGCAUGGUCUUGUUAUUAAAGAAUUUCGGUUAUCGAUGGGGAUGCGUUCCAUUAGGCAGUUGGUGAGGUAACGGCUCACCAAACCUUCGAUGGAUAGGGGUUCUGAGAGGAAGGUCCCCCACAUUGGAACUGAGACACGGUCCAAACUCCUACGGGAGGCAGCAGUGAGGAAUAUUGGUCAAUGGGCGCAGGCCUGAACCAGCCAAGUAGCGUGAAGGAUGACUGCCCUAUGGGUUGUAAACUUCUUUUAUAUGGGAAUAAAGUUUUCCACGUGUGGAAUUUUGUAUGUACCAUAUGAAUAAGGAUCGGCUAACUCCGUGCCAGCAGCCGCGGUAAUACGGAGGAUCCGAGCGUUAUCCGGAUUUAUUGGGUUUAAAGGGAGCGUAGGUGGACAGUUAAGUCAGUUGUGAAAGUUUGCGGCUCAACCGUAAAAUUGCAGUUGAUACUGGCUGUCUUGAGUACAGUAGAGGUGGGCGGAAUUCGUGGUGUAGCGGUGAAAUGCUUAGAUAUCACGAAGAACUCCGAUUGCGAAGGCAGCUCACUGGACUGCAACUGACACUGAUGCUCGAAAGUGUGGGUAUCAAACAGGAUUAGAUACCCUGGUAGUCCACACAGUAAACGAUGAAUACUCGCUGUUUGCGAUAUACAGUAAGCGGCCAAGCGAAAGCAUUAAGUAUUCCACCUGGGGAGUACGCCGGCAACGGUGAAACUCAAAGGAAUUGACGGGGGCCCGCACAAGCGGAGGAACAUGUGGUUUAAUUCGAUGAUACGCGAGGAACCUUACCCGGGCUUAAAUUGCAUUUGAAUAUAUUGGAAACAGUAUAGCCGUAAGGCAAAUGUGAAGGUGCUGCAUGGUUGUCGUCAGCUCGUGCCGUGAGGUGUCGGCUUAAGUGCCAUAACGAGCGCAACCCUUAUCUUCAGUUACUAACAGGUCAUGCUGAGGACUCUGGAGAGACUGCCGUCGUAAGAUGUGAGGAAGGUGGGGAUGACGUCAAAUCAGCACGGCCCUUACGUCCGGGGCUACACACGUGUUACAAUGGGGGGUACAGAAGGCAGCUAGCGGGUGACCGUAUGCUAAUCCCAAAAGCCUCUCUCAGUUCGGAUCGAAGUCUGCAACCCGACUUCGUGAAGCUGGAUUCGCUAGUAAUCGCGCAUCAGCCACGGCGCGGUGAAUACGUUCCCGGGCCUUGUACACACCGCCCGUCAAGCCAUGGGAGCCGGGGGUACCUGAAGUACGUAACCGCAAGGAUCGUCCUAGGGUAAAACUGGUGACUGGGGCUAAGUCGU
rnacentral:rRNA from 1 species